UUUGGUUUCAAUAUUUGUUGUAUAUUUCAUUAUGAAUGUUACAAGAGAGUGAAGACAACUCUUAUAGAGAGCCAAAAGAAAGCUACAAUAGAUUGUAGGAUAACUAGACAAACACAAUCCUUAAAAUCUGCCCUAACAAGUGGAAAAGCAAAAACCAAAUUACAAGUAAAGAAGCUUUUACAAACAACUAAGAAAGGUUGAUGUAAGGUAAAUGACAAGCUAUGGAAAGGUUGAUGUAAGGUGAAUGACAAGCUAUGGAAUGUGAGGUUGAUGUAAGGUGAAUGACAAGCUAUAGAAAGUGACUUUAGCCUAUGACUUAGCUAAAGUGAGGAUGACAACUCAUACAUACAACUCAUCCAUACAAACCGGUUUCAAUACACCCCAUCAAGCUUGAUCAAAGGGAUUGAUUGAUCCAAGCUUGCACAACAAACGCUGAAACUGAGUAGAGUCUAGUGCUUUUGUGAAUAAAUCAGCAAGUUGAUCGUGGUUGCGUGUGAACACGGUGUCUAUCACCUUGGAUUGAACUUGAGCACAAAUAUAAUGGCAGUCAACUUCAAUAUGUUUAGUACUUUCAUGGAAUACUGGAUUGGAGGCAAUGUGCAUGGCAGCUUGGUUAUCAUAAUACAAGGACAUAGGUGCCAUGCUUGUGAAUCCGAGCUCGGAAAGAAGACCUUUCAACCAUAUGAGUUCACAGGUUGUUGCUGCCAUAGCCCUAUACUUAGCUUCAGCACUAGAUCGAGCAAUAACAGUUUGUUUCUUGCUCUUCCAAGUGACAAGGUUCCCUCCAACAAAUGUGCAAAAACUUAUUGUGGAUUUUCAAUCAAAGGCAUUUCCAGCCCAGUCAACAUCUGUGUAGGCCAAAAUGUGAUUUGAUCCAUUGUUCUUCAUAAUUAUCCCCAUUCCUACUGAGCCCUUGAGAUAUCGAAGUAUUCUCUUGACGAUUUCCCAGUGAACUAAAGUACGAGAGUGCAUGAACUGACUGGCUAGGCUAACUGAAUAUGAGAUAUCAGGCCUAAUAAUGGUGAGAUAAACAAGUUUCCCAACCAUUCGCUGAUAAACACGAGGGUCCGAGAGAGGUUCACCUUUUUCAUGCCACUGAAGUUUGCUAGCUAGGGGUGUCCGAGCUGGUUUACAUUCCAUCAUGUUAUCUUUAUCUAGAAGAUCGAGAACAUACUUUCUUUUAUUCAAGAAUAAUGCCUUUGAAGAGGUAACUAACUCAAUUCCAAGAAAGUAUUUCAAGGGCCCCAAGUCUUUAAUGGAAAAUUUUUGGUGAAGUGACUGUUUAACCGUCUUGAUUUCACUUAUAUUGUCACCUGUAAUAAUUAGGUUGUCAACAUAUAUAAGCACAACCAAUUUGCCAGCAAUACUACUUCGAACAAACAAAGAAGAGUCAGCAUGACUCCUUUUGAACCCUGCAGCUUCAAGGACUAAACUAAGCUUCGAAUACCAAGCUUGAGGGGACUAUUUGAGACCAUAUAUGGCUUUGUGAAGUCUGCAGACCUUGUUAGGUUCAUUUUCUCUUGGAUGACCAGGAGGUAACUUCAUGUACACUUCUUCUUCAAAAUCCCCAUGAAGAAAUGCAUUCUUCACAUCCAUUUGGAAUAAAGGCCAUGCAUUAUUGACUGCCACAGACAACAUUACCCUCACUGUGUUCAUUUUGGCAACAGGAGCAAAGGUCUCCUUAUAGUCAAUGCUAUAAGUUUGAGUAAAGCCUUGAGUUACUAAUCGUGCCUUGUGUCUUUUAAUGCUUCCAUUAGAGUUAAAUUUGGUCUUAUAUAUCCACCUACUUCCCAUGACCUUCUUGCCAUUUAGAAGCUCCACCACACUCCAUGUCUGGUUGUCAUUCAGAGCUUGAAGCUCUUUAGUCAUAGCAUCUUGCCACUCAGGCAUGGAUGUGGCUUCAUGAAAAUUCCUUGGUUCGAAAGUGUGGGACACUUUGUUAAGGAAAGAAGUAUGAGAAGAUAAGAAUAUGUGAUAAGAAAUGGCUGCAGAGAUAGGAUGCCUUGCAGUGUAAAUAACAUACUCUUGUAACCUCACUGGUGGAUGUCUAUCUCGUGUAGGAUUUCUUCUUGGUGCACUUAUAGCUUGCUGAUUUGGUUGAGCUUCUGAUGGUUCAGAAUAGCUUGGCACUGCAUCAGUUAUACUCUCAGUGAGUUGAGAAUUAUCAGGGCUGAUAUGAGCAGGAUUAGCAUUAGUCUCCAACCCUUUAUGGAAAUAAGGUGAAUAUUCAUCAAAUCGCACAUUUCUAGAGACUUCCAGCUUCCCCGUGUUAGGGUUGUACACUUUGUAACCCUUUUGAGAACUGACGUAUCCCAUAAACACACAUUUAACAGCUCGAGGGUCGAGUUUGUCACGAUGGAGAGCUUGAAUGUGCACAUAACAAAUACAACUAAAGGUCUUGAGGUGAGACAAGCUUUAGGCCUGCCCUUCAUGACUUCAAAAGGAGAUUUAGUAUUCAACACACGAGUUAGCAGUUUAUUAAUGAUGUACGUAGCAGUGAGUAAAGCUUGAGACCAAAAUUUCUUAGGAACAUUCAUUUAGAUCAUAAAUGAUCGAGUCUUCUCCAAUAAGUCUCGAUUCUUUCUCUCUGCCACACCAUUUUGUUAUGGUGUACCAACACAGCUAGUUUGAUGCAAAAUGCCAUGAUUGCUCAAGUAAUUACUCAUGUUAUUGGAAGUGUACUCGGUACCAUUAUCUGAUCUUAACAUACAUAACUUAGAUGAAAAUUGAUUGGUGAUUAGGUUGUGAAAGUCCUUAAAAGCAUCAAACAAAUCACUUUUAAGUUUUAAAAGAUACAACCAGGUUACUCUAGAAUAGUCAUAAAUAAAUGUUACAUAAUAUCUAUACCCAUCAAAGGAUUCUACAAGAGAAGGACCCCAAAUAUCAGAGUGAACAAGCUUAAAAAGUUUACUAGUUCUAGAAUUAGAGGAAACAAAAGGAAGUCUAGUGGCUUUUGACAUUUGACAAGUUUCACACUCCAGUGUGUUUUUACAAAAAAAGGGAAACAACUUAGUCAUCACAUGUUCUGAGGGAUGGGCAAGGCGUUGAUGCCAGAGUUGGUGUUCCUGAACUUGACUUAAGUUGACACUAAGCUUUUUGACAAAUUGGACUCCUUUGAGAGAUAGUAGAGUCCAUUCAAGAAGAACCCUUCACCAAUCUUCUUCUGAGUAACUCGGUCUUGAAACACAACAUUGUGAGGGAAAAAUAUGGCAAGACAGUCUAAGGUUUUUGUGAUUUUUCUUAUUGAUAAGAGCUGAAAAGGAAAAGAAGGUACAUAGAGAGUAGUGGAAUCAGUAUGCUCACUUAGCAAUCUAAUCUUUCCUUUCCCUAUAAUAGGUUCCCCUUUCCUAUUUGCAACAGAUACAUGAAUAGGAUCAAUAGUUCUUUGAAAAUCGUGGAGACUAGAGGGUUUAUUAGUUAUAUGAUUAGUGGCACCAGAGUCAAUAAUCCAAAAAUCAUGUGUAACAUUUGCAUUAAGAGCAGUGGAAAUGGCACUGAUAAUACCUGGAAUAUUGCCUUUCGAUGUGUUCUCCGAGUUAGCCAAGAAUCCAGCAAAUUUCCCUAGCAUCGCAGUAGGGUUUUCAGGUGUCAUUUCAUCAGGUUCAGUGCUUCCUUGUUUCUUUUGAAGAAAAGCAACAAACUCGUUGAUCAAGGACAUAAGAUUUAUUGAGAAAUUGGCCAUCCCAUUAGUUGAGGAACAAGAUGAAUGAAAUGCUUUUGGAGUGACUCCACCUUUCCCAUCUUUGAUCAUCCUGCCUUCCCUAUCAAACUUAGGCUUUAACUCCGGAUGAAGAAUCCAACAUUUUUCUUUCAAAUGUCCUUUCAUGUUGCAAUAAGAACAUUUCCAGUCUGCUUUCUUGCCAAGCACCCUAUCACCAGUUGCUUUAUGAUUUGUCGUGAAAACCCUAGCUUCAGAGUUGGAUUUGGGCUCAACGUUCAUCAUUUUUCGUCGACUCUCUGGACUGCAUGACACACAGUGGUAAAAGAGGGCAGCUCUUGAGUCAUUAACAAGUGACUACGCAGGUCUUCAUACUCAGCUCCCAAGCUUGCUAAGAGUUGAAAAACCUUGUUUCAUCAGCCCUCUUCAGUAGCACAGCGAAAUCAGUCGUGUGUGGACAAUACAUAUCGAGUUCAUUCCACAUGGAUUUCAUACUUCCAAGGUGUUGAACAAAUGAGUGAUCACCUUGCUUUAAACUAGCCACACUCUUCUUUAGUUGAAAGAUGUGAACUGAGUUGUUUUGGCUACGAUACAUGUAUUUGACAAACUCUCAUAUGAGAAUGGAAGACUCUGAGUAGCUGAAAAGCUCAUACAGUUUUGGCCCCAUGGAGUUAAAUAACCGGGACAUGACCAGCUGAUCAGUAGUAUGCCAUGCAUCGUAAGUUGGUGAAGUGGAUUCUGAGGGCUCAGAGCUUCCAUUGAUAAACCCUAGCUUCGAUCUUCCUCCUAGAGCAAGUGACACAGCUCUUGACCAAGGAAGGUAGUUGAACUCGUUCAAUAGCACUGAGCAGAGUCGUUGAUUUGGAUUGUUCUCAACCCCUUGGGUUAAGUUUGGGAAGGAGGAUGAGGCACUGUCUGCACUAGACACAUUUUCUUCUGCCAUCUCUAUCGAUGAUGAGCAAAUGAAGAAGUAAAAAAACAGAACAAAGUCAGGACCUUAUGGUUCCUGCUCUGAUACCAUGUUGAGUUUUGGUUUCAAUAUUUGUUGUAUAUUUCAUUAUGAAUGUUACAAGAGAGCGAAGACAACUCUUAUAGAGAGCCAAAAGAAAGCUACAAUAGAUUGUAAGAUAACUACACAAACACAAUCCCUAAAAUCUGCUCUAACAAGUGGAAAAGCAAAAACCAAAUUACAAGUAAAGAAGCUUUUACAAGCAACUAAGAAAAGUUGAUGUAAGGUGAAUGACAAGCUAUGGAAAGUGAGGUUGAUGUAAGGUGAAUGACAAGUUAUGGAAAGUGAGGUUGAUGUAAAGUGAAUGACAAGCUAUG
rnacentral:lncRNA from 1 species